rnacentral:rRNA from 1 species
UACAGAGGGUGCGAGCGUUGUCCGGAAUCACUGGGCGUAAAGGGCGCGUAGGCGGCAAUUCAAGUCAGCUGUGAAAUCUCCGGGCUUAACUCGGAACGGUCAGCUGAUACUGCUUUGCUAGAGUGCGGAAGGGGCAAUCGGAAUUCUCGGUGUAGCGGUGAAAUGCGUAGAUAUCGAGAGGAACACCUGAGGUGAAGACGGGUUGCUGGGCCGACACUGACGCUGACAGCGCGAAAGCCAGGGGAGCAAACGGG